rnacentral:rRNA from 1 species
UACAGAGGGUGCUAGCGUUGUUCGGAAUCAUUGGGCGUAAAGGGCGUGUAGGCGGCUUCUUAAGUCUGGUGUGAAAUCUCCCGGCUCAACUGGGAGGGUGCGCCGGAUACUGAGGGGCUAGAGUGUGGGAGAGGAAAGUGGAAUUCCUGGUGUAGCGGUGAAAUGCGCAGAUAUCAGGAGGAACACCGAUGGCGAAGGCAGGUCUCUGGGCCAUUACUGACACUGAGAAGCGAAAGCAUGGGGGAGCGAACAGG